GAUGAACGCUAGCGGCAGGCUUAACACAUGCAAGUCGAGGGGUAUAGGUUUUCGGACCUAGAGACCGGCGCACGGGUGCGUAACGCGUAUGCAAUCUACCUUGUACAGGGGGAUAGCCCAGAGUAAUUUGGAUUAAUACCCCAUAGUAUUAUAGAAUGGCAUCAUUUUAUAAUUAAAGUUCCAACGGUACAAGAUGAGCAUGCGUCCCAUUAGCUAGUUGGUAUGGUAACGGCAUACCAAGGCUACGAUGGGUAGGGGUCCUGAGAGGGAGAUCCCCCAAACUGGUACUGAGACACGGACCAGACUCGUACGGGAGGCAGCAGUGAGGAAUAUUGGUCAAUGGUCGCAAGUAUGAACCAGCCAUGCCGCGUGCAGGAGGACGGUCCUAUGGAGUGUAACCUGCUUUCGUACAGGAAGAAACACUCCUACGUGUAGGAACUUGACGGUAAUGUAAGAAUAAGGUUCGGCUAACUCCGUGCCAGCCGCCGCGGUAA
rnacentral:rRNA from 1 species